rnacentral:rRNA from 1 species
AUGUACUUGACAGAUGGCCUAGUGCCAUACACAGAAGUAUUUAGUGUGUUGGAUUGGUGGAAAGUAGCUGGAACAAGAUAUCCAACAUUAAGGAAGGUUGCCAGAGAUAUAUUUGCCAUUCCCGUGACAACAGUUGCUUCAGAGUCCGCAUUUAGCACAAGUGGCAGAAUACUUAGUGAGCAUAGGAGCCGCCUAACUCCUAAUAUGGUGGAAGUCUUGAUGUGCUCCCAAAAUUGGCUUAGAAACAAAUGCAAAGGUGAGCAAAUAAUGUAA